CCAGAAUUAAAGCUAAGGCUAUUCCACCUUAUACCUGUGUUUUGUGUAAGGGUUAAGGUUACUAUACAAGUUAUACCUGUGUUUUGUGUUAGGGUUAAGGUUACUAUAUGAGUUAUACCUGUGUUUUGUGUAAGGGUUAAGGUUACUAUACAAGUUGUACCUGUGUUUUGUGUAAGGGUUAAGGUUACUAUAUAAGUUGUACCUGUGUUUUGUGUUGGGGUUAAGGUUACUAUACGAGUUGUACCUGUGUUUUGUGUUAGGGUUAAGGUUACUAUACGAGUUGUACCUGUGUUUUGUGUAAGGGUUAAGGUUACUAUACGAGUUAUACCUGUGUUUUGUGUUGGGGUUAAGGUUACUAUACGAGUUGUACCUGUGUUUUGUGUUGGGGUUAAGGUUAUAUAAUACCAUACAAAAUAUAACUAUGAUUUGUGAAGUUAUAUCUCUUAAAUGAUAUUUUAUAACUGCUUACCAUUGUUUUGGAAUCAUACCUAUGUUAUUACCUUAUUACAUAUAUGGUUAUUAUUGUUAUUUUACAGGUUUCUUAAACACUUGU